rnacentral:rRNA from 1 species
GAUGAACGCUGGCGGCAUGCCUAAUACAUGCAAGUCGAACGAGAGGAAGGAAAGCUUGCUUUUCUGAAUCUAGUGGCGAACGGGUGAGUAACACGUAGGUAACCUGCCCAUGUGCCCGGGAUAACUUCUGGAAACGGAUGCUAAAACCGGAUAGGUAGCAGACAAGCAUUUGACUGCUAUUAAAGUGGCUAAGGCCAUGAACAUGGAUGGACCUGCGGUGCAUUAGCUAGUUGGUGAGGUAACGGCCCACCAAGGCGACGAUGAAUAGCCGGCCUGAGAGGGCGGACGGCCAGAUUGGGACUGAGACACGGCCCAAACUCCUACGGGAGGCAGCAGUAGGGAAUUUUCGUCAAUGGGGGGAACCCUGAACGAGCAAUGCCGCGUGAGUGAGGAAGGUCUUCGGAUCGUAAAGCUCUGUUGUAAGAGAAAAACGACAUUCAUAGGGAAUGAUGAGUGAGUGAUGGUAUCUUACCAGAAAGUCACGGCUAACUACGUGCCAGCAGCCGCCGUAACAC